rnacentral:rRNA from 1 species
UAACUUCGGGAAACCGGAGCUAAUACCGGAUAAUAUUUCGAACCGCAUGGUUCGAUAGUGAAAGAUGGUUUUGUCUAUCACUUAUAGAUGGACCCGCGCCGUAUUAGCUAGUUGGUAAGGUAACGGCUUACCAAGGCGACGAUACGUAGCCGACCUGAGAGGGUGAUCGGCCACACUGGAACUGAGACACGGUCCAGACUCCUACGGGAGGCAGCAGCAU